AGCGGAGCGUGUGGUUUAAUUCGUUGCUACACGAAGAACCUUACCUGGGUUUGACAUAUAGGUUGUAGGGAACUGAAAGGGACCGACCCUUCGGGGAGCCUAUACAGGUGUUGCAUGGCUAUCGUCAGCUCGUGUCGUGAGAUGUUCGGUUAAGUCCGCUAACGAGCGCAACCCUCGUCGUAUGUUAUAUGUGUCAUACGAGACUGCCGGUAAAAAGCCGGAGGAAGGUGAGGAUGAUGUCAAGUCAGCAUGACCUUUAUAUCCAGGGCUACACACACGCUACAAUGGUCUGUACAAUGGGUAGCCAAGCCGCGAGGCGGAGCCAAUCCUGAAAGCAGGCCUCAGUUCAGAUUGCAGUCUGCAACUCGACUGCAUGAAGCCGGAGUUGCUAGUAACCGCAGGUCAGCAAUACUGCGGUGAAUACGUUCCCGGGUCUU
rnacentral:rRNA from 1 species